CAUUUAAAUUCAAAACAAAUCAAUCAAAUCAAACUCACAAAUUAAAUUUUAAAAUCGCAACCCCAAAAUUCCAAAAAACAAUGCCUAGAGUAUCUCUAAACAUUACCCCAAGUGAAACCGCACACGCCAAGACCCGAAAAUGGCGAAAAGCAUCAGUUUAUGUCUUAAAAGCAAUACAAAUGCUUAUUGCAAUCAUAACAAUCAUUGUAAUCCGUCUCCACUCCUACUAUUACAUCUAUUCCCUCGGAGUGAUCCUUGCCAUCACAAAUCUCAUCACAAAUAUAUCAGUUAUCGCAAUGGCGAUCGCCGAAGACUUCUCCCGCUACUUAGACAUAGCAAACAUGUGGGUCCUCCUAAUGCUCUACAUAUCAACAUGCAUCUUAUGGUUCUUGGAGUAUUUUUACCUAAAUGACCAACGAACAUUCGUGCUGGUUCUGGCCGGACUAGACUUGACAGUAAUCCUCAUGUUCCUCCUAGACUUUGGCGUGCAUUAUGUACAAAUCGACAAAGGAGAAGAAGAAAUCUUUAAACAAGUACAUCCUGUGGGACACGAACAAAUCGAACACCUUAAAGACACUAACUAAAUGCUAAAACAUAACAAAAUUAUAAUUAAAGCAUAUUUCCGUAUA